rnacentral:rRNA from 1 species
GACGAACGCUGGCGGCGUGCCUAACACAUGCAAGUCAACUUGACUGAAGGAGCAAUCUGACAGUAGAGUGGCGCAAGGGUGCGUAACGCGUAAGUAACUUGCCCCAAGGUAAGGAAUAACGUCGAGAAAUCGGCGCUAAUACCUCAUAAUGCAGCGGAUCCGCAUGGAUAUGUUGUUAAAGGUUUACCGCCUUGGGAUAGGCUUGCGUCUGAUUAGCUAGUUGGUGUGGUAACGGCACACCAAGGCUACGAUCAGUAACUGGUCUGAGAGGAUGAUCAGUCACACUGGAACUGAGACACGGUCCAGACUCCUACGGGAGGCAGCAGUGAGGAAUAUUGGGCAAUGCUCGAAAGAGUGACCCAGCAACGCCGCGUGGAGGAUGAAGGUAUUCUAUAAUCGUAAACUCCUGUGAGAGCAGACGAAAGACAGAUUAUUAAUCUGGAUGACUGUAAUGCUCAGAAGGAAGCCCCGGCUAACUACG